GGCAGGCCAGCCAGGCACGGGUGACAGCCCUGGGCUGAGCAGUGCUCCAGAGGGAUUGAAGGGCUGUGGUGGUGAUGGAGGAAGCGCCAUGUGCACCACCAUCCUGAUCCUGGGUCCACUGGUCCUCAUGCUGCGGCGCCGCUUCUGCAACAAAGUCGAACCGCACUCGGAGGGAGAGGAGGAGAUCAGGAGAGAGGCUGGCUCUGACCCUCACGCCACGUAACAGCGCCUGGAGCAAAGGCAGGAUUUAUUGUUUUUCCUGCCUAUUGGUGAGGCUGUGAAGUCUCAAGAAAAGUGUCUUGCUCUGGAGAAAGGAAAUUAAACCUGGAAUGGCUGAAUUGGAAGGGAAAACCCCAUUUUCCCAUUACUUUCAAUAGCAUUUCAGUUCCCAGCUCCCCUGCGCCCUGCAGCCGGCACCGAGCACAGCCCAGCCUCAGCACCUGCUGAAAGCCUCACCAAACAACCCGUGACAGCAACAAACCCACACCACCCAGCUGUCCUCCCACAGCUCAGCGAGGGCCAGGGCUAAUGCUGGGCCAGCAGGGAGAUUUGCCUGUCUGAGCCCUGGCUGGGGCCAGCAGCCCCAGCUGUGGGCACAGAGCGAUCCCUGCUCCCAGCCAUGGGCUUCUCACGUGCCCUGCAGCUUUCCCAUGGAUAUAAACCCAUUAAUAAAAGAUCAGUGUGCACACAGCUCACUGCAGAUGACAGCAUUAGAGGCACAUCAGCUUCUCCUAAGCACCAGUCUCGUGCUGGGUUUAUUUGGUCCAUUUGUGGCAGGGGAAGAGUCGCUUUUGGCAUUCAGAGAUGACUUGUGUCUGGGAGAAGUAGCAGGGCGAGUUAUAUUUUUGGCUCUAUUUAGCCACAAAAAUUUGGGUUUAGAAUAAAGAGAAAUAUUCCUGUUUGCUGCCAAACUGAGGCAGACGAUUUCUUGUGCAAG